rnacentral:tRNA from 1 species
GGUCUAACGGUAAGCAGUGUGGUGCGGCUGGAGCGGACUUUUAAUCCGUUGGUCACAGGUUCGAAUCCCGUACGGCCUACCA